GAUGAAGAACGUAGUGAAAUGCGAUAAGUAAUGUGAAUUGCAGAAUUCAGUGAAUCAUCGAAUCUUUGAACGCACAUUGCGCCCCUUGGUAUUCCGAGGGGCAUGCCUAUUCGAGCGUCAUUAUCACCCCUCAAGCCUAGCUUGGUGUUGAGGCCUGCUGUCAAGGCAGCCUCUAAAAUCAGUGGCAGUGCUGUCAGGCUCUAAGCGUAGUAAAUCUAAUCGCUAUAGACACCUGGUGGACACUCGCCAGAACCCCCCCCCAUUUUUUAAUGAUUGACCUCGGAUUAGGUAGGGAUACCCGCUGAACUUAAGCAUAUCAAUAAGCGGAGGA
rnacentral:misc_RNA from 1 species